rnacentral:rRNA from 1 species
AUUGAACGCUGGCGGCAGGCCUAACACAUGCAAGUCGAGCGGAUGAAGGGAGCUUGCUCCUGGAUUCAGCGGCGGACGGGUGAGUAAUGCCUAGGAAUCUGCCUGGUAGUGGGGGAUAACGUCCGGAAACGGGCGCUAAUACCGCAUACGUCCUGAGGGAGAAAGUGGGGGAUCUUCGGACCUCACGCUAUCAGAUGAGCCUAGGUCGGAUUAGCUAGUUGGUGGGGUAAAGGCCUACCAAGGCGACGAUCCGUAACUGGUCUGAGAGGAUGAUCAGUCACACUGGAACUGAGACACGGUCCAGGCUCCUACGGGAGGGCGCAGUGGGGAAUAUUGGACAAUGGGCGAAAGCCUGAUCCAGCCAUGCCGCGUGUGUGAAGAAGGUCUUCGGAUUGUAAAGCACUUUAAGUUGGGAGGAAGGGCAGUAAGUUAAUACCUUGCUGUUUUGACGUUACCAACAGAAUAAGCACCGGCUAACUUCGCG